rnacentral:rRNA from 1 species
GGACUACCAGGGUAUCUAAUCCCGUUCGCUCCCCUAGCUUUCGCACCUCAGCGUCAGUCACCAGCCAGGACACUGCCUUCGCUUUCGGUGUUCCUCCGGAUCUCUACGCAUUUCACCACUCCACCCGGAAUUCCGUGUCCCUCUCUGGCCCUCAAGUCGGCCCGUCUUUCGACCACUCGGAGAGUUAAGCCCUCCGCUGUCACCCGAAACGCGGCUGACCGCCUGCGUGCCCUUUACGCCCAGUAACUCCGGACAACGCUCGCCCCCUACGUAUUACCGCGGCGGCUGGCAC